rnacentral:lncRNA from 1 species
AUUUUAUAACAUUUAGGGGGUUUGUAACCAGUGUAAAGGACAGCACCAUCAUUUAAAGUCAAACCAUUAGACCCGUGUUAAUGGGUUUAUGGCUGCAAAAAAUGACCACCAGAAAUUGCAGCAUAGGCUGGUGCAGGAAGCCAGGAAAAAUAUCAGCUGGUGCUGUGAGGAAUGACUGGAUUUUUUCACAAUCCGUGAAGGAGAGUUGCCCAAGUGAUGGCCAACACAAACAGAAAACCUGGAGAAAACUGGGAACAUACUGGGAAAGGGCAUCUUGCAAGAGAAGAACACCAGCAACUUCAAAUUUGACAUUGCCCAAAUAAUACCGCGUAAAAUCCCACACCUGGGACAGACAUAUCUAAGACUGAAGCAAUGGGGAAGAAGAUGAUCAGGACUGAGUUGUUUAUUUUGACAGGAAUUGUACUGGAGACGGUUAAGUGUGAUGGCAACUGAGGGGGCUAAAGUCACAGCCAAGGCCUCGAUGUCCUUUGUGACAUCACCAGGGGAUGGAUUGUGACCUUGUGUCUUAUCUAACACAGUGUCUGUAUCUUACAUAUUUCAGUUGUCAUAUUCAAUUGUGUCAUCAUUGGUGGCAGAGGAUGACGUCACCAAGUGAUGGAUUGUGACAUCCAGGGGGGAUGAUUGUAGCAUCAUGUCCCUCACUGCUAUAUAAGUUGUCAGCAGAGCUUGGGUCAGACUGGCUUGAUCCUGGACUGCUGACAAGAAUGUUUGCAAGAGGGAGGAGCCCGUGGUCCUCAGCUCUUCCCUAGACUUCUGUGACAUACAGACAUGGACAGAGAUAUGAAUGUGGACAUGGAAGGGCCACCAGAGUCCAGCAGCCAGGCAGGGACAGCUGCUGGUGGCCUGGAUGAAAACAGCCCCCACUGCCCAAUGGCUGUCGGUGGACUCCUGCCUGAGAUCUGGGCAGGACUUUUUCGCCAACAGCAGCAUCUCUUGAACCUGGUGCAGCCCUGGCUGCACCAGAGGUUGCAGGUCCAUCCCCAGGAGGAGCCAGAGCAGGAAGUGGCUGCAAGUUCCUCUGCUGAGGGUUACAGUCACAGCCCCUCCACUUCUAGACAGGACAUGGACCUCUUGUCUGGGGGGUCACAACACCACCCAAAGAGGAAGGCUCAAAGGCCCCUGGAUGAGCCCCCAUCCAGGAAGAAGCCCUGCUGGCAGUAAAAAGAGGCCCGGGGAAAAUGUUCACAAAAGAAAAAAUAAAUGUCUCUUUCCCUGACA